rnacentral:lncRNA from 1 species
GAGAGAGAGAGAGAGAGAGAGAGAGAGAGAGCGUGUGAGCACAAGCAGAGGGGAAGGGAGAGGAGGAGCAGAGGGAGAAGCAGAUUCCCCUCUGAGCAGGGAGCCGGAUGCGGGACUCGACCCCCCCCCCCCCCCCCCCCCGGGGACCCGGGGAUCAUGACCUGAGCCAAAGGCAGACCCCAAGGACACAUAUUUCAAAUAUCAAGGAAUUUAAAAGGUUGAACGUGGGCCUGCAUAGAUAUUUUUAUGGAGAAAAUGCAUUUUAAAUAAAAUUUUAGAUAAAAUUAUAUCAGUUGAGGUAAUUUAGAAUUUCAGUUGUUCAUAGAAAGCAAGUUGGACAGGUAAUGAAAUACAAGAAAGAUAAACAAAGUUCGUAAUUACAAAAUGAAAAAAUAUUAGGAUCCAAAGCUGCAAAACACUAAAAUAUAAUGUAGCUCUGAAAAUGAAAUGGGGGUGGUAGCAGUAUACUUCAUUUUUGAGCCCUGAUACUCUUAAUUUGACUGCUUGGCAAAAAACCCAUGUAGUUAAACACAAAUUCCCAGGCACUUCAAUUAUAAAUUGAGAUUAUGCUAAGAAUUAGAACAAUACUUAAUAAUACGUAAUAACAGCAAAUUACUACAGCACCUAUAUAGAGAAAAAUGGUUUUAAUAUAUCCGAAAAUAAGUCACCACAUACAUACAGGUUUAUUUUUUCACAUUAACAUUAAUAGUGUUGGAACAUAACGAAUCUAAAAUUUCUUUAGGGACCUCUCUUCAGCAUCUCAAAGUUCUAACAUUAACCUUUUAAUUAGUCUUUACAUUUCACCAAAGUUUCUCUCUUUUUGCUUCUUUUGUCUAGAAAAUUGGGGGCGGGGUAUGGAUAAAAACACUGAGCAGAGCAAAAGAGUAUGCACAAAAAUAUAUCAGAGGUAACGACAAGGCAAAAGUAAUUCGCAAAUAGAAGUAAGCAUACAUUUAUUUUAACUGGUAAGAAUACACACAAGGAAAGAACAUUCUACUAUAUGAGAAUUUAGAUAAUUCAGUAACAAUGAAUCUUCAUAUGACCAAUGCUGAGCUUAAGAAAAAAAAAAAAAAAAGGAAUGGUAUUUUUAAACAACCCCCCCAAAUUAUGCUUAGGUAGAGUGCUGAAAGAAAUAUUAAUGGGGUCCACUUGCAGGUUCUGAUAAACAAAUGACGAAGCUAAAGUUCUGGAACAAAUGCAUAAAAAAGCAAUGAAAAGGACUUAAGCCCCAUGAAGGGGAAACAACAACAUCAAUAACAACAACACAACCACAACAACAACUCUAGGAACCUAAAGUAUUUUACUUGAUAAAGACUAUGGAAGUGAUAUGACUGGAGGCCAAGUAUAUUAAGAGAUACACAGUUGGAUCUAAGAAAAUAUUUAUGUCAUCCGAAGAAGAACCGAACUAAAGCAAACUAUGGCAUAUAACAUUUGAUUUAGGCAUUCGAUUCUCUGGGGAUCCUAAGCCUUGGAAUACGUUUAAGGAAAGUUGCAAGUACCUGGAUCACUUUCUCAGACCCUUAAGAAAAUGCAACAGUCAGUCUGGGCUGAUUUAAGACACAGGUUUUCUUUAUUCAAAGGGUGGUAUGAAUCUGGGCACUGGUAGGAACAUUUGGGAUCCAUUCAUCUAUCACUAAAGGUACUUACUACCGUCUAUCACAAAGUUAAAGAAAAAAAAAAAAGAAAAGAAAAUAGUCUGAGUGUGCCAAGAAUUAGUAUUCAGUAAUUGUAACGAAAUUGUUAUUAUUUCUGAAUUCAACUGGCAAUUUGCAAUUUUGUCUAGCAACAAUCAUGUCAAGAGAACUUCUCAGUGACACUGUCUUCUUACAAGUCAAUGGCUUCUUUCUGAUUUAAUUUAGAGAGGCAGAGAAUACGUGACCACUUCCUCCAUUCUGCUUUCUAUCAGUAUUAUAACUGAGAGCUGAUGUACCCUGAGACGAUCAACACAGAAAUAGACAAGGGUGAUGAGGCACAGCCAGCUAUAAAUCCUUAAAAAUACCACAAAUAAUAUGCCCUUUAUGUAAUUGAGUUCCGUAUGCCUCACAUUUUCUCUUGAAAUAAAAAUGUCUGGUAAAUUUGUCUGGCUAUGUUCAUUACACUGUUAUAUGCCCUAUGAGUCUCAGUCAAACCAUGAAGUUAUUUUCACAUAUUUAAAUAUACUUUUCAUAAAGUAUAAUUCUAAUAGCUAGUUGGUCUGUGUUUUUAAAUUCUUGCAGGUACGAAGGAAUAGAACUUCUCAUUACAGGCUAUCUGUAAAUUUGAUGUUCACCUUUUUCCCCUAUUUUUAUGGUGUGGCAUAUACAACAAUCCCCCCCCCCCCCGCCGCCACUUAGAUUUCUAGAAUAUUACAGGGAUUUAUUUUAUUUGUAAAAGCACAACCACCGUAUGAUCAUCAGUGCAAAGAAAUAAAACUUCGGUGACAGCUUACUUAGACACAACCAUUAAUAAAUCUAUUCAUGUCAUAAUGUAAUUAAAGGUCUCCUUCCACCCAGACUAUGAAUUCUGUGAAAACAAUAUUCAAUUCUAAAAUUUCCAUCACUCUGAAUCCCAAAAUAUAAGUUGGGAAAUUCUGAAAAACUGUUAAAAACAGUUCAUAAUUGCUAUUUGUAGGUAAUUCCCUUUGAGUUUUCUAGUAUCCAUUGUAGUGCGAUGGUAACAUACUAAUAAUCUAUGCAUAAAAAGAAAGCAUGUAUUGCACUGCUUAAACUGAAUGAUAUCUUGAAAAAAAACUGAAUGAUAAAAAGUAUCGUCUUGGAAAUUCUUUUACUUAAGAGUGAACUUUAUGAUGAUUCUUUAAAAUUGAGAGUCCUCUCUCCCUUACCUACAGGGAUGUACCAUCAAGUUUCCAGUCUCCUCUUUAAAAGUUAGUAGCUUAAUCACAAUCAAAUAUUUCUUUCACUUGGUCUGGGGUAGCAAUGAAAUAGUGGGGUUCUGAAGCAAGUACUGAAUUAAACGAUCACUGAACAUGGGUCUAGUUAAGUAAUAAAAAUUGAAGGAAGGAAGGGAGGGAGGAGAGAGAGGGAAGGGAGGGAGGGGAAGGAAGGGAAGGGAGGGAUGGAGGGUGGAAGGAAGGAAGGAAAGAGACAGGACUUUAAAAAAAAAAAACCUUCAAAACUGAAAUGAAAUUUCACGACCCUCAUGGUCACCGUGUAUAUAACUUUACACCCGCUUUAUUAACGGCAGAUACAGAUAAAUCAACGUUGUAUAUUAAUUGCUCAACGCUGCUAAACAAACGCUACAUUUUAGAAUCCCAGCACCCUGAGCUCAUACGUGUCCAUAACUCACAGCGACAGAAAAGACAAACAGGCCCCUUGACAACUUGGGCCGUUCCCCGAGGUCCGCCACGCAGCGAGCCCCAGGGGCGAGCAAGCCUCUGCGAGCUCAUCUUCGCCUGCGAGUUGACCUCCAGCACGACUCGCGGGUAAACCCGCCCCUCCCGUCUCCACCGCCGCUCGGCCAGACCGUCUGAGUUAGGAGAGCGCGCAAAGAUGUGCCUUCCAGGCAAACUUUUGUUUCCUAAAAAGUUAAUCUCUCCAAAUACUUCCAGUUGGAAAACGUCCACUUCAGCUACUUGACACCAAGGGCGUCACUUUCUCCCCUCGGCUUACCUGCUCCUACUCAAUCAUCCUUCCAGGUCGGCUCUGGGCAGCUCGGGGAGGCGGCUCUGUGAGCGCUCCCGAAUCCGCGAGCACCAGGUGGGGACGCAUCCUACGCGCUCCCACGGGUCUCUCACUCCCUCUCCCUCCGGGGCCGUCCUCAGCAGCGCUCACCCGGGCCGCGGCCGGGACGCCUGCCCACCUGGGCGCAAACCGUCCUCGAGGAAUGAUCCUCCAGAUCAAGGGGCUGAGUGGAUUUCCACAUGUGGCUGGAGCGAGUGGGGGCGGGGGGGGGGCUGCAGCGCUGCAGGGAGCAGCUGUCCGGCGAGUGCUCUAAGUCUGUUGGUUAAACACGCGGAAUCAACAAGCACACAGAUGGGUCCAGGUCCUUGGGGAUCCCGGAGUCCGAGGAGCCCCCUAAGCAGUCGUCCCUACCGCCUGCAAAACUCGCACCGGUUGCGCCCUCGGAAGCCCCAGACUCGCACGCGUCUCUCCCCUCCCGUCCCUCCUCCUCGGUGUCUCCCCCACCCCGCGCCAGGUGCCCCGAGGCAGACUUACCCCAGGGGUCGCAGAGUCGGGAGAGGAGGGCAACUUUGGCUGCCCCCGCUCCGCAC